UUGGUUGUCACACUAUUUUUCCUUUACCAAGCAAUUAUUUAGUGAUCGUGCUUCAAACUUUAGGGAAUUGAAGUAGGAAAAAAAAGUUCGUUUCUUGAUAUUGCGCGAUAAUGGAGAAAAUGGAAUUUCGAAUUUUUUUUUCCGAUAUCAAAGGAUUAUUUGACGACGAUCGCGAUGGAAACAUCUGGUUUCGAGCGAAAAAAUGUCGGUGUCUCUUUUUCACAUUCGUGUACGUGACGUAGAAAAAAACUUGCUCGUUUCGCUUUUUUGCGCUCUGUGUCUUUCCGUCCCUCUCGUAAUUUGUUCACCUCUUUUUUCUUCUCCCUAUAUCUAUAGACUUGGAACAUGUGAGGGCGUGUGGGGUUUAGAGAGAUGAAAAUAAAUGAAGGAAAGCUUGACAGAGAUACAUGCUCGGCAGACACCAAUGAUGUAACGAAAAGGCGGACGGAAUUCGAUCAAAUGACACUUUUAGCUCCGAGUUCACGUUGUUAAAAAUUGUGUUUAUCGCGUAUUCAUUCGUCUUAUCAGUAUUUAAAAAUCUACGUUCAAAAAAUCAUGUUUUCAAAAAAAAAGCACAUUUUUUUACAAUUUCUUUAUUGAAUUAACCUGCUCGCUCAACAUGUUCUUUCGUAAUUUCAUCGUUUUACAAAAUAAUAUUGACAGUGUGCAGGAGGCUUGUAAAGAGGUCGAUAUUUUUAGAAAUGAGCGUUAUCACCGAAGAUCACGUAGCAAAUGUGGCAGCAGGGCUCCAAUAAUUUAAUGACCUUAUACCGCACCCUGUAUAAGGAAUCCAGACUCGACGAGCCAUUUCGAUAAAGUUCCCGUGUGCGUCCAAGGAUAGAACUCGCUGUGAUGAGCCUCGCCUUCUUGACCCGAGUCGAUAAUUUUUAAUGCAUGUGCGGGGCUCAUGAAAUAGAUUGUACCCACCUUUAGAUAUUCGUGGAGCUGCUUCGCGUCUUGAAAAUCGUCGUGAAUUACUGGAAUAACCUAUAAAUGUUCGAGCGGAAAAAUGUCAUGAGAAAAGAUUUUGGAAACAAAGAAAGUAGUGCGGGAAGGGCGUGUAUUUCGUGGUGAUUUGUGAUUCGUUUAUGUUUCGAGAAUUUUUUGAAGCGUUGUCAAAGCAAUAAGUGAAAAGUGUCGGAGUGAAUCGAUCGUGAAACGGCUGGCACGUAACGAUGAAGAAUCUUUAUCGUCGCGAAGGUAAAUGGACAGAGCAACGCGAAUUUUCACGACUCCGUGUCAACUCGGUGAUCGCGGUAAUAUUACGAGGGUGAAAUUAUCCGAAUCAACGAUCGUUUGUAACGGAACGAGCACUCGAGCGGGGGAUCCUAUUCGUUGGACGUUGGAGCUAACGAGCCAUUGGCGCCAUUGGCGUAGGUUUGUCGUUAUGUCGCUUUGUGUGUAUUAGCUUUUGUGCCGCCGAUGCGCGGUGUGCGUUAUCAUCAAUUAGCUUCAGCCCUUUCGCUCGACAAAUGUUUCAUUUAGCAUCGGAUUCGACGAUUUUCUUCAAGGUGAGAAAUCGAACACCAGAAAAGCAUAAAUUUUCCACUCGGCUGUGGCAGAUCUUUUGUUCAGAAACAACGAGAUGUGCGAGGAACGAAACGAGGCAACUCGAACGUAAAAAAACUCGUUCGAAAGCUCGAUGACCAAUCGGAAACAACAUUUUCGUUUCUGUUACUCGUCUGACAUUGAAAUCGAGCAGACCGCCGUGAAGGGGGAUGCGAACGCUGUUGAAAUUCGGAAUGACAGCUAAAUUUAUACAUAUAUGUAAAUACACACGAAUUUAUAUAACCAUAUUUAUUUAAUUCACUCAUGUUAAAAUAAUGAUCACAAAAAGUUAUCGAACUCAAUCUCAUAAUAUCUACGUUAGAUUUUUUUAUAUAUAUGUACAAAUUUUAUGCAUUUGUCUAAAUCUUAUGAGACUAUAUUGUUAAAUGUAUUUGUAUUUGUAU